CGUUAAUUGGUAAUACACUUCUCUAUAAUUAUUCAUUUUGGAUGCGUUAUAUUUGAUCUUCAGAAAGGCUCUGGUGGUGCAGAAACAUUAAUUGUUCUGUUAACCUUCACAUGUUCGCAUUAAAAUUGUUUUACACAACAUUUUAAAGAAGUGCAAGUGCUCAAAUGUUUUGGAAUAUUUUUCUAUAUUUGUGCUGGUCGGUGCUCAAGCAAAUAAUACUGGCAGAUAAGGUAGAAUG